rnacentral:tRNA from 1 species
GGGGUUCUGGCUCAGUGGUAGAGCACUCACCUAGCACAUGUGAGGCACUGGUUUCAAUCCUCUGAACCACA